GGAAAGGCUUACGGUGGAUACCCAGGCACCCAGAGACGAGGAAGGGCGCGUAGCAGCGACGGGGAUGCUUCGGGGAGUUGAAAAUAAGCGAUCCGGAGAUUCCGGAAUAGGUUAACCUUUGAACUGCUGUGGUUGAAUCCACAGGCAAGAGACAACCCGGCUUAACCAAACAUCUUAGCAGCCAGAGAAAAGAAAGCAAAAGCGAUCUCAGAAGUGGCGAGCAAAUGGGAGCAAAACCAGAAAACGUAGUCAGAGAGCAAUAAAAGCUGUCGUGCCGCUAGGCGAAGCGGUGGAGCGCCGCACCAGAUAUGAGAGUCCAGGCAGCCGAAAGCAUCACCAGCUUUCAUGCCUGACCCGACCUGUACGGGGCACGGGAACUCCGUGAAUCAGCAAGACCACCAUUGCAAGGCUAAAUACCCCAAGUGACCGAUAGCUAGCAGUACCGUGAGGGAAGGGUAUUAACCCCAUCGGGGAGUGAACAACAUGAAACCGCAAGCCCCAAGCAGGGAGGAGCCCUGGGCCUGACCGCGUCUGCUGAAGAAUGAGCCGGCGACCCAUAGGCAGUGGCUUGGUUAAGGGAACCUACCGAGGAGCCGAAAAGGAGUCUCAUAGGGCAAUUGUCACUGCUUAUGGACCCGAAACCCGGUGACUGGUCUAUGACCAGGAUGAAGCUUGGUGAAACGGCGAUAUCCAAACCGACUGGAUGCUGAAAAUCAGCGGAUGAGCUGCCAGGUUAGUGAAAUGCCACUGAACCCAGAGCCAGCUGGUUCUCCCGAAAUGCGCUGAGGCGCAGCAGCUGGACUGAUCCAGGGUGCUAAUUGUUUCGGGGCCGCGAGAGCGGUACCAAAUGAGGAGGCAAACCCGAAUACCAGAUAUGACCCCAAAACAACUUCAGUCAAGGUCACAGCACGGCGGGGAUAAGCCCAUCGCCGAGAGGAAAUAGCCCGAUCACCAGCCAAGGCCCAAAAUGACCGCCCAGUGAUAAAGAGGUAGGUGCAGAGACAGCCAGAGGUUUGCCUGUAGCUAAACACCCCUGAAAGAGCGCGCAAUAGCUCACUGACCGAGCGCCCUUGCGCCAAAGAUUGAACGGGGCCGAUCCGUCAGCCGGGACGUCAAAACAUCGGUAGGGGAGCGUUCCGCCUUAGGGGAAGCAACUGCGGAGUCGGGCGGUGACGAAGCGGGAAGGAGAAUGCCGCUUGAGUAACGCAAAACAUUGGUGAGAAAUCCACGCCCUGAAACCGUCUCUUCCGCAAGGUCUGUCCACGGAGGGCGAGAGUCAGGGUCUAAGAUCAGCCGAAAGCAGUAGCCGAUGGACAAAUUGCGUGAAUAUUCCUGUACUCACCCUUGUUGGUCCCGAGGGACGGAGGAGAGGCCAGGGUUUAGCCGAAAGGUUGCCAUCGGUUCAAGAACGCAAGGUGUCCCCUGUUUUUUCCAGGGUGAAGGGGUAGAAAAUGCCCUGAGCCAAUGUUCGAGUACAGGCGCCAUGGCGCCAUGAAGUAACUCAGCGCUAUAAUUCCAGGAAAAGCUCGAACGACCUUCAUCAAAGGGUACCUGUACCCAAAACUGAUACAGGUGGGUAGAUAGAGACACCUAGGGCGAGACAACUCUCUACAGAACUCGCAAAAUAGCCCCGUAAUCCUCAAGGGGAGAAGGGGUACCACAAAGGGGGUCGUUAGACCAGGCCUGGCGACUUUCUGUUUACCAAAACAUGGUUCCGCAAAGUCGCAAGAUCAUGUAUGGGGCUGACGCCUGCCCAGUGCCGGAAGAAUAAGGGAAGCGGACCUGAUGACAGGGAGCCACACCAGCCCCGGUGAACGGCGGCCGUAACCAUAACGGUCCGGCAGCGGAAAUUCUUGUCGGGUAAGUUCCGACCCGGUAUGAAAGGGCAAACGAUCUGGGGCACUGUCCUCGGAGAGAGGCUCAGGAAAUAGAUAUGUUCAGAAGAUGCGGACCACCUGCACCCCGGACAGAAAGACCCGCAUAGCUUCACCAAGUUCCCUGGGAUUGGCUUUGGGCUUUCCUGCGCAGCUUUAGGUGGAUAAGGACAUAUUCUCUGGGGGGCCUGAGCUAUCAGUGAGAUACCACUUGAAGAGCUAGAAUUCUAACUCAGUUGUGACUUCAUGAAGGCGGACAGUCCCAGGUAGACAGUUCUUUAUGGGGCGUAGGCCUCCCUAAAAGGUAUCGAGGCGUGCAGGUUGCUCGGGCCGGACGGAGAUUGGCCUCGAGGCAAAGGCAGAAGGAGCUUGAUCAAAAGACCCACUCCGUCGAGCAGGGACGAAAGUCAUCUUUAGGUGAUCCGAUUUGGGUGCUGAGUGGAAGGGCCGUCGCUCAACGGAUAAAAAGUUACUCAGGGAUAACAGGCUGAUUCUCCUGAGCUCAUCGACGGGAAGGUUUGGCACUGAUGUCGGCUCUUCGCCACCUGGGGCUGUAGUGUUCCAAGGUUGGGCUGUUCGCCCAUUAAAGCGGUACGUGAGCUGGUCUGGAACGUCGAGAGCAGUUCGGUCCAUAUCCGGUGUGGGCGUUAGAGCAUUGAGAGGACCUUUCCCUAGUACGAGGGACUGGGAAGACGCACUCUGGUGUACCAGUUAUCAAAGCCCACGGGUAAACGCUGGCAGCCAAGGGAUGGAUAAUCGCUGAAAGACGGCGCAGGUCACCCCAAGAUGAUUCUUAUUCCGAUCUCCCAGAGCCUCCGGCAGCACAGCCGAGACAGCAACGGGUUCUCCGCCCCUGCGGGAUGAGUGACAGAAGCCUUUGAGAAUUCAAGAGAAGGUCACGGCGAGUAUGAGCCGUUUAUCAUUACGAUAGGUGUCAAGUGGAAGCGCAGUGAUGUAUGCAGCUGAGGCAUCCUAACAGACUGGUAGAUUCUGAA
rnacentral:rRNA from 1 species